GGUCUCUGCUUUGCAGGAGGGAGACGUCCCUCUCUCUCUUGCAUUCAGGAGACUCCAGCUGAGGGUCUUCUCCUGGAAGAAGACCUUGGAGGUGGUCUCCAUCUCUGGUCCCUUCUGGGCUUACCAUCCAUCUGUCCGUCUCACUCUAGUUGGAGGGAUGGGACUUUGAUUAUUACGAUGAUGAUUAUUUUGGAGGGGAACGAGAUGGUCCUGAUUCCUUCCAGUCCUGAGGAUUUUGAGCUCUGAGCUUCAGGAACAUCAGAUGAUGAUGGAAGAGCCAGCCGCCUGCAUUUGCCUCCUCCUCUCCAGGUCCAGCUUUUGGAGAGAGAGAACCCAAAAGAGAAAGAGAGAGAGAAAGACCUCAAGCCUUGGAAGAGGGAGGGCUGUUUCUGUCUUUGGUUAUCUAGCUGUAUGAGUGUUAUCAAGCCAUCAUAAAGCUAGAUAACCGAAAGUAGAAAUGACUUCCACAGACAACUAGGAGAUGGAGAAGAGGAGAAAGAAGGAGGGGGAAAAAGAGGAGAGGAAAAAUGUCCGGGCAAUUGGAGAACCAAAAACAGCUAUUUUGGAGAAGAUCAAGCUAUGGACCAACCUGAUCCGACUGGCAUUCAAGAAAAUCCUGACAUCAGAUCCCCAAUCCAGACAUGACUGACAAAACCCUUAGCUUGGGAUGCACUGGAGAAAGCAAGACGAGAAGAUGCGUCAUCUUCUUUCUCUGAGCCUGAAAAGAGGCUGUGCGACAUUCUGCUGCCGAGAUAAGAAACUCCCAAUUCGGCAUGAGCAGCAACAGCAACGAAGACGGAGGGCCACGGAGGGCAUCUUGGGUUUAAUUCCCUUGCCCUAGUUGUUCCUCCGUGUGCUCCUCUCCCCUCCUUCAAAGCUCACCGGUGCCAUGUGGUGCCCUCAAAGAACAAGCACGGAAGGUGGAGGCACUGUGUGUGAGGGAGACUGAGAGAAAGAGAAAGAGGGAGUGACAGAAGGGCAUCCUUUCCCUGGCAAGACCCUCUCCGCUACUCCAGGCCACCCUGCUUCCUCGAUGUCAGGAAGCCAUUUUGAUGGAGCCAAACGCCGUUUUGUAAGAUGGCCGCAUUGACAUGAGGCUCCCAUUAUGAAGAAUUCCACAAAUUUGGAAGACAUUGAUUUCUUGGUCUGACUUGCUACAGAUGAAGGCUCACCUGCUUUUCUCGUUUCAUGGAGGAAUGGAUUUUUGUGUCUGCUAUCUUCUGUAUGCCAGACAUGAAGAGUUUUCUUAGGAUGCUGAGACUUACAUUUUCCAAAUUGCCUAAUUUGGCAGGAAGGCAAGACAAAGGAACUCCUUACUGAGUAUCUGAAAGAAGCAGAGUGCAUUCUCCAUCUUUCUAGGAUUUGGCCUUCUUGGUUGUAUUGGAUCAUAUAUAGGAAAAUCAGAAGUUUCUCCUGCACCAUCUCUGUAAAGCUAGAUGCUGAAGGAAGGGGAAAUCUGAAUUAGAAUCGUCGUCUGUAGUUGUUGAUGUUAUAAUAUGAUGUUACUGAGAUGACUUGUGACUCAAUAAAGAUACAGGGAUCUUGACGAUGUCAAGGAAGAUGGUUCCAUCUUGCUUUCAGCAAAAGUGUAUUGGCAUCAUAAAAUGACCUGCAACAUUGGUCAGUGUUUUGUUCUUUUUUUCUUUUUGGGCUUCUCUACAACCGAGGCUGUUUCUUUUCCACAUUAUUUCCCACAAAACAUAAGCAUAAAGUGAAGCAGGAGAUAGGUAUCUACUCUGCAAUGGGCCCAAAUAGACCGGCCAAAAUAAAGCUGCUUCCGGUCAUUUUGGAGGUAUGCUGUUUAAAUGAUGCAUGCGUCCUAAG